AGCAAGAUUUUCCAGAGUAUUAUCUUACCUGCUACCUCUCCUUCUCCUUCGAUCUCCCCUAACUUGAUCGUCGGAGGGCCUCCACUACCCCGGUGGUGGUGCGAGGCUUGCUUGCAGGUUUCCCGGCGGAAGGUGGAGCGCAACCGAAGUAAUUCCAAGGGAACCCCGUUCACACCGCUGUGCCAAUCGUUCUCGGUUUGAACCCCCAGCAACAGUUGGCGCUAGAGG
rnacentral:lncRNA from 1 species